rnacentral:rRNA from 1 species
GAUGAACGCUGGCGGCGUGCUUAACACAUGCAAGUCGAACGGAAAGGCUCCUGCUUGCAGGGGUACUCGAGUGGCGAACGGGUGAGUAACACGUGGGUGAUCUGCCCUGCACUUCGGGAUAAGCCUGGGAAACUGGGUCUAAUACCGGAUAGGACCACAUUUUGGAUGGUGUGGUGGAAAGUUUUUCGGUGUGGGAUGAGCUCGCGGCCUAUCAGCUUGUUGGUGGGGUAAUGGCCUACCAAGGCGUCGACGGGUAGCCGGCCUGAGAGGGUGUACGGCCACAUUGGGACGGAGAUAAGGCCCAGACUCCUACGGGAGGCAGCAGUGGGGAAUAUUGCACAAUGGGCGCAAGCCUGAUGCAGCGACGCCGCGUGGGGGAUGACGGCCUUCGGGUUGUAAACUCCUUUCGCUAGGGACGAAGCGCAAGUGACGGUACCUGGAGAAGAAGCACCGGCUAACUACGUG